rnacentral:rRNA from 1 species
UACGAGGGGGGCGAGCGUUGUUCGGAAUUAUUGGGCGUAAAGGGUGCGUAGGCGGUUUGGUAAGUCUUAUGUGAAAUCUAUGGGCUCAACUCAUAGUCUGCAUGAGAAACUGCCGGGCUUGAGUGCAGAAGAGGAAAGUGGAAUUCCAUGUGUAGCGGUGAAAUGCGUAGAGAUAUGGAGGAACACCAGUGGCGAAGGCGACUUUCUGGUCUGUAACUGACACUGAGGCGCGAAAGCGUGGGGAGCAAACAGG